rnacentral:misc_RNA from 1 species
UUGUUCGCGCUUAUGCUGUAGCCCGAGAAAACUAAUUUUGAAUCGCAUGAAAAGCCAUUGUUUUGAACGUCGUUUGUUUUCCAAUUUGUUUUUCCCCCACAACCGCCGCUAUUUUGUGUCUCCUAGUGCCGAAGUGAAUGAUUAAAGUGAAAACUGAUUGAAAACUAAUUUGUAUCCGUGAGAUAUAGAUUCUAUAUUUGGCGCCCAAACGGCAAUCGUCGAAGGAUAUUCCGCGCUCAAUAGACCCGCUCUAGAACUUUCACAGCGACACCCCACUUAGGCUUGUAGAAGAGCCGAAACUGGACCAAUUUUAGAUCGAAAAUCGAAAGAAAACACAACAAUCAAUCAACUCAACGCUACUCACCGACCUUUCUAGUCUUCUACAUACACUUUUACACGAAAAGAAACCCUUUUUGUAAGCGAAGCCCAUUUUUUGGAUAAGAAACAUAUCUCUGUAGCCCGCCCCGACCCUCAUCCCAACCCAAAUCCGACGAAGGGAUCUGCUAAGCCCCCCAUUUAUCCUGGACCCCGGAGAGUGCCUCGUGGCAAAUCGAAGAUCCAAAACGGCGCCACUUAAACCACAAGCCUACAAAAUUGGCCGAAUGUUAUGUUGUGGCUUCUGCUGUGGCAAUAUGUCGAAACGGGAUUACAAAGUGGCCACCACCGAUGGCAUCGAGCUGGAGCCGUUGGGCGGCGAAAAGAGCGACAAGGACAAGGACAAGGAUAAGGAGAAGCAGACUAAUGGUGUUACCUUCGGUGGCGAAUCAAGCGGCGGCCGCCAGACGCGAACCGGAGUGGCCGUCUGCUCCCAGCGGCGGGCCCUCCUUGUGGCCGGAAUCGUGCUCGGCUCGCUCCUGCUGACGGCCAUCAUCAUCGCCUACGCCGGACCGCAGAACGACUGCUCCUGCGGAUCGAAAACGGUGUCCGGAUACGAAUCGGAUGAAGAAAACAACACCACCCCCUUCAAUCCGAUUGCCACCAAUGGGGAGCCCUUCCCCUGGCUGGAAAAGAUGCUGCCCACCAGUGCGCGUCCCCUGCGCUACAUGGUCACCAUUCAUCCCAACCUGACGACCUUAGACGUGAAAGGUCAAGUUACCAUCGAUUUGCACGUGGAGAAGGAGACCAACUUCAUUGUGCUUCACAUCCAGGACCUCAAUGUCACCGAAAAGGCCAUUGUAACCCCCGGGCCCAAGGGCUAUGCCCUUAAGAUUGUCAAGGUGCUGGAGUUUCCGCCCCGUCAGCAGCUUUACAUCGAGGUGAAGGAGAAGUUGAAGAAGAAGUCCAAUUACACUCUCAACCUGCGCUGGUACUCCAAACUCAAUCCAGAGCCGGAGGGCUUCUACGUGGACCAGUAUGAGAGCUCCAACGGAGUGGAAAGAUUAUUGGCUGCCACUGUUUUCCGGCCGAACGGUGCGAGACGGGCUUUUCCCUGCUUCGAUGAGCCGCAUGUUCGAGCUCCAUUCCGUAUUUCCGUGUUCCGUGAUCGCUUCCACAUCGGACUGUCCAACUCCAUAGUGCACACCACCGAAGAUGUCGGCUUCUACAUGGGCACGGGACUGCUCCGCGACGACUUCAUUGAAACACCACCUCUGCCCGCCGACGCUGUGGCCUGGGUAGUGAGCGACUUCCAGCGCGAAUCCCUUCAGCCCUCCGCCGCCUACAUUCCGACGACAGCAGCCCCACCGGGCUCCGGCGUCGGGGGCAAAAAAUCCGCCCAGCUGAACAACUACACGCAGCUGAAAGGCAAGAACCCGCCGGUACGGAACAUCACUGCACUGACCCAUUCCCUGAAUGUGAACCUGACGCCGCGCCAGAACCUGAGCUCCAUUCAGGCCACCACGACGACAGCACUUCCAGUGAAUCUGAAUGGAAACGGAAAGCCCUCGAAUCUUACCUCGCUGUCCCAGUCAACGGGAUCCUCCAUAAAGCGAGCUCCUUCCUACACCUUCUAUGCGCCCAGAGAUCUGCUGGUUCGCUCCUCGUUUAUUCUGCACACAUCGCGGGAUGUUCUGGAGUAUCUGCAAACCUGGCUGGACAUAAGCUAUCCCCUGACGAAAGUGGACUUUGUGGCACUACCGUCGCUCGAUCGUAAUCUAAUAUCCUCGCUGGGCCUGGUGACCCUGAAGACGUCCUUCCUGACGGAUCCGCACUCGAUUACCUCGGAACAGUAUCAGUUCAGUGCCCUGCGCAUUGCCGAGGCUAUGGUGAGGCAGUUCUUUGGAGGAAUCACCUCCCGGAAAGUACUUAAGGACGUUUGGUUGUGGGAGGGGCUCAUCCAAUACCUGGGUAUUCAUGCCCUGGCCCCACUUCAGGACAGCUGGCCACUGCGGGAGAUGUACUUGCUGAAAAUGGCCACCGCGGCACUCGAUAUCGAUGCCAUUCAAGGAUGGGACAGCAUUAUGAACGGCACCAGUCACGAUGGCAACAACGAGGAGUUCUUCGUCCAGAAGACAGCCGCCAUAUUUUCCAUGCUGCACACGGCCAUUGGGGAAGAUCGUUUCCGUGGGUGCCUGGGCACUUUCCUCAAGGUGAAUCGUUUCAAAACCGCCGAACCCACUGAUCUUUGGACCAUUUGCACUAAGAAGGCCAACGGAUCAAAGAACAUCAAGGACAUGAUGACGUUGUGGACACAUCAACCGGGAUUCCCGCUUCUCACCGUCACCAAAAUGGGCAAUAGCAUUUCCAUCUCGCAGAGACCCUUCCGGCCGGCAGAGUUCCUGGCCAUUCAUGACGAUUCCUACGACGGCAACAAUUACAACAAGACGACGGUCAAUGCCACGGAAAUCCCCAGCACAGUGGCGCCCUCUUCCCAUGGCAACAAGCACAAGACGCCACCUCAUAUGAAGUGGAUAUUCCCGGUCACCUAUGUCACCGAUAUAAAUAAUGUCAGCGAAACCCUUUGGAUGCAGAAUGUUGAUGUAACCUUCAAUGUGGCGGAGAAUGUCAAGUGGAUCAAGGUGAAUGCCAUACAGAAUGGAUACUAUCGAGUGGUCUACAAUGAUGACAACUGGGCGAGUCUGAUUGAAGAGCUUUCCAACAAUCCCAAACGGUUUACCAGCGAGGAUCGCUUGGGCCUCUUGUCGGACGCCUUCACCUUAUGCCACGCCAACCUGCUGCCCUGCGAGAUCACCAUGAACAUGAUCCAGUACCUGCCCAGCGAAACGCACUACGGACCCAUGGCCCUGGCCUUGAGGCAUCUGGAGAAAUGGCGACGCAUCCUCAAGUAUUCCGAAUGCUUCCUCAUGCUUAGUGAGUUUAUAAAGAUAAAGAUAACCACCGUGAUGGAAAAGGUGGGCUGGUCGGACGAAGGCGAUGUGGCCAUCAGGCUGAUGCGUCCAGAGGUUCUGCUAGCCUCGGUCCUGUGGGAGGACAUCAACAGCAUAACCAAGGCCAAGGACAUGCUUAACCAGUACUUGUACUACAAUGGCUCCGCGAUUCCCCCCAAUCUUAGAGAGGUGGUCUACACUGGGUCUAUCCUGUCAGGGGAGUACAUAUACUGGCAGCAUUGCUGGGAGCGCUUUGUGAACCUGCAACGCACCUCGGAAACUUUCGUCGAACGGAUGCAGUUGCUCCGUGCGCUGGGCAGAACCAAGGAUGCCUGGCUGCAGAACCGCCUGCUCUCGCAUGUCACGAUGCUGCCCACAGAGGAGGUGGUGCAGGUGCUCAAGGCCAUUGCGGGCACGCCCACGGGCGGAGCCAUGGCCUGCCGCUUCCUGCAGGCCAAGUGGUUCGAGCUGGAGAAGCGCCUGGGACCGGGCACGAUAAGUUUCGCCAAGGUCAUAUCCGCCAUCACCCAAUACGGGGCCACCAAGUUCGACUACGAUGAGCUGAAGUCCUUGGUGCAUCGCUUUGGACGGGGUCACGGCAUGUCGGUCCUCAACAUGACCCUGAGCAGCGUGGCCUCAAACGUGGAGUGGGUGGCCAGGUCGCAGACCUCGCUCUACAAGUGGGUGGAGACCAACCUGCACAAACAUCGAUAAAGGCCAAGAAGGAUAAGCAGGGACGCGAGAGUCCUCUUCAAACUCAUUUGUAAUUAUGUUCCUCUCAGACACGAAUCUUAACAUAUCAUUGACAGUUCGAUUGAUCUCCUUGGUUCCCUCGUUUCGUAGGUCUCCUAUAAGUUUAGUAUUUUAAAAGAAAACCCCUCCCCCUCACUCGCACUGUAAAUUACAAAUUGCUAUGAUCAAGCAGCUCUUAUAUAUGUGUAUAUCUAUCCCGUGGUGGCGGGAGUCCUUUUCUAGCACAUAUAUAUGUGUAUAUCUACAACUGAACAUAAGGAUCUAUCUAUAUAUGUAUAUUGUAUAUGUAUGUAUAUUUUACAAACCAACAGAAACCCAAAAACCAAACAUAUUUAGAGCAAUGAAUAUAAUUGUAGAGUGUAAGCAAAGAACAAAGAACAAACAUAUUUUUUCAUAAAACACAAAAACCAAAACCCUAAAAACCAAAACUCCCAACUCCCAGAUAUACUAAAAUCGCUAAAGGAUUAACUGUAUAGCAUAUGUAUAUUAGAUUUCGGGUGUGUGUCCGUGUAUGUGCGCAUCGAAGUAUCACAGAAUUCUUCCUUUUGUCCAAAAAGCAUAGUCUACUUAUCGCAACAUAAUGCAUCCCUCUAUAACGAUCUAAGGAUACUGCCUGACCAACACCAAAACACAAGUGUGAAAAAUAUUUUAUGAUCUAUAUUAGCUUCCAGCAUAGUAUUACAAUUAUCAUUUUAAGAUUGUUUCCAUUUCGAUUUAGAUAAUAUUUAACUAGAUUCUCUCUACCGGAAGUCUAUAAAGGUGAGACGGCCUUCAAGGUCAAUCCCAAUCGAACUCAGUUGAAUAACAAGUUUCAGCAGAGACAUCAACUGAUGCCACAUAUUUAAAUAGCAAUUCAGGCACGCGAAAAAUGUAAAUCUCUAACGACUUUUAAAUUUAAAUACUUUAACGAUAUCACAUGGCUGCCAUAGGUACUAGUCUUUAUUGGCAGAGUGGUCUUAGGUCAGGUGGGAACGUAACUUAGGCACUCGGGAUACAAAAUACAAUAUAGUCAUACCCCCAAAUGUACAUACAUGGCAUACAUGCUGUAGUUCUGCUAGAAGUGAAAAAAAAAAACAAAACCAAAAAAAUAUUAGUCUAACACUUUUUAUUUCCGCACCUAAACUGGCAAUCAGUUUACUACAUUCCGUAACUACGAUUUAGGUUUUCGUUUAACAAUAAGUGGUUCGCUCUUGUGUUUACCAUAUCGCCGCUUAUCAUUUAAUUAGUGUUAGAGCGUCUGUCCUAAAGAUAGUCCAAGGUGUUUGGGUAAACUGAGGGAAGCCUCCGAAACCGAAGCCUGGGGGCACCUGGCACGCCGGUUUGAUAUUAUUUAGCCGGCCAUAUAAACGUGUUUGAGUUGUGCCAUGGGCGGCAGUCCCCCGAUAAGAGAGUGCCAGAUUACAAAAAGAUUAGCACUGGGAUGGGUCAGGGGCGUAGCGACAGUAGGAUUCGAGAGGGUUAUGGCAGAAGAGCUAUAUUCGUAGUAGAAACUAUAAGCAGGCACUCAGUGGGAAAGCCAAGAGUAGUAUUAGUAACCCCUUUCGAACUACGCCCAUUCAGAUUCCCCCUCGAUCUUCGAUUGGUUGUCGAGCCUUCAACUAUUUUUGGCUAUGCUAAUUUGUAGAUUUGUAUUUGCAUCGGACCACUAGAAAUCUUUGAUUUGGGCUUCUACAGAAAACGUGAUUUUGGAUGGAAACGGAUGGUUUGCUUGGCUUAGACACACUCAAGACUAACUCAAAGAUACUCUCAAAGAUACAUACUUGCAACAAUGUCAAUCGCUCAGAUACCCCAGUAUAUACAUAUACGUGACAACAAAAAUAUUUAGAGGCAGACAAAGAGACGGGAGGAGAUACAAAAAUAAAAUGUAACUUUAUUAGCAAACAAAGGUAGAUCACAGAGAAAAACACACAAAAACAAGUUUUGGAGCGAUUUUACCGGAUUUUCGAUAAAUGUAUAACCAUACAAGCAACUAAAAUGAAUAAAGAAAAUAAACCCCAAUAGGAAUAAUAAAAUCGAAACACAACAAAUAUAAACAAAAACAAAAUACUCCAAGCCCAGGAGCAGAACUUGGAUGGAUUACGAGAAGAUUUAGAAAGUUUUUACGGAUCAACUGAAACAGAAGACUUCGCCUAAGUUCGAACUUUACAUUAUUUCAAUACCCAUUUCCUUGUCCAGUAUAUUGUAUGGUAUAAUGCAUAUCCGUCCACAGCUUUGAUUGACUUAUCACGUUUGGGUUCCAUUAAGUUCAUUGAAUUCAUCUGACCAACCUUCAACCUUAAACCUUCAACCUCCAACCUUCAGCCCAACCAGCCCGAAAAGCCCCUUAGACCUGGAGUUGGAGAACGGCAAAUGGCCUUUUUCGUUAGAUACCCCGAUUGAAAAACGAAUUCUAGUUAAUUUUAUUAGAUGAAAAUUUAUUUGAAAUCGUUGUAAACCUAUGAUAAAUUAUUAGUUACGCAUUGGCUAUCAGUUUUAUAUAAAAUUGGCGUAGGGAAAAUACAAAGUGUAUCUAUGGUAGAAAUGCAAUGGAAAGCAGGCAGAGCAACUCUUAAGACGUAAUUCUAAUUGUAUGCUAAUGAUAUAUACACAUCUAUACAUAAAUAUAUAUUUACAUAAUGUAAUUUAAGUCAACUGGGAAUAUUAA